GACUUGACCUCAAAUCAGGUAGGACUACCCGCUGAACUUAA
rnacentral:rRNA from 1 species